GCUGGGUGUGGUGGCGUGUGCCUGUAAUCCCAGCUACUUUGGAGGUUGAGGCAGGAGAAUCACUUGAACCUGGGAGGCAGAGGUUGCAGUGAGCCAAGAUCAUGACACUGCACUCCAGCCUGGGUGAAAAAAAAAAAAAAAAGAAUUCUUUUUUUUUUUUUUUUUUGAGACGGAGUCUCGCUAUGUCGCCCAGGGUGGAGUGCAGUGGCCGGAUCUCAGCUCACUGCAAGCUCCACCUCCCGGGUUUUUACGCCAUUCUCCUGCCUCAG
rnacentral:SRP_RNA from 1 species